CAAAAUAAAGCUUUAAAGUAAGGCAUCUCAUUUACAUUGGGAAUAGAUUUCGUGCAAUUCGAAUUAUUUUGA
rnacentral:tRNA from 1 species